AGCAUACAUGAUUAGUACCCCUGUUGUCCACCCGAUGAGUGCUAGGUGUUGGAGGUUUUCCGCCCUUCAGUGCCGGAGAUAACGCAUUAAGCACUCCGCCUGGGGAGUACGACCGCAAGGUUGAAACUCUGACGGGGGCCCGCACAAGCGGUGGAGCAUGUGGUUUAAUUUGAAGCUACGCGAAGAACCUUACCAGGUCUUGACAUCUUGCGCCAACCCUAGAGAUAGGGCGUUUCCUUCGGGAACGCAAUGACAGGUGGUGCAUGGUCGUCGUCAGCUCGUGUCGUGAGAUGUUGGGUUAAGUCCCGCAACGAGCGCAACCCUUGUUACUAGUUGCCAGCAUUAAGUUGGGCACUCUAGUGAGACUGCCGGUGACAAACCGGAGGAAGGUGGGGACGACGUCAGAUCAUCAUGCCCCUUAUGACCUGGGCUACACACGUGCUACAAUGGACGGUACAACGAGUCGCGAACUCGCGAGGGCAAGCAAAUCUCUUAAAACCGUUCUCAGUUCGGACUGCAGGCUGCAACUCGCCUGCACGAAGUCGGAAUCGCUAGUAAUCGCGGAUCAGCAUGCCGCGGUGAAUACGUUCCCGGGCCUUGUACACACCGCCCGUCCCAUGUAACACCCAAAGUCGGUGGGGUAACCUUUUAGGAGCCAGCCGCCUAAGG
rnacentral:rRNA from 1 species